rnacentral:rRNA from 1 species
UGAGGAAUAUUGGUCAAUGGGCGAGAGCCUGAACCAGCCAAGUAGCGUGCAGGAAGACGGCCCUAUGGGUUGUAAACUGCUUUUAUGUGGGGAUAAAGUGAGCUACGUGUAGUUUAUUGCAGGUACCACAUGAAUAAGGACCGGCUAAUUCCGUGCCAGCAGCCGCGGUAAUACGGAAGGUCCAGGCGUUAUCCGGAUUUAUUGGGUUUAAAGGGAGCGUAGGCCGUGGAUUAAGCGUGUUGUGAAAUGUAGACGCUCAACGUCUGAAUUGCAGCGCGAACUGGUUCACUUGAGUAUGCGCAACGUAGGCGGAAUUCGUCGUGUAGCGGUGAAAUGCUUAGAUAUGACGAAGAACUCCGAUUGCGAAGGCAGCUUACGGGAGCACAACUGACGCUGAAGCUCGAAGGUGCGGGUAUCAAACAGGAUUAGAUACCCUGGUAGUCCGCACAGUAAACGAUGGAUGCCCGUUGUUAGUUCACUUAAGAAUUAGCGACCAAGCGAAAGCAUUAAGCAUCCCACCUGGGGAGUACGCCGGCAACGGUG